rnacentral:rRNA from 1 species
UGGGGAAUCUUGCACAAUGGAGGAAACUCUGAUGCAGCGACGCCGCGUGAGUGAUGAAGCCCUUCGGGGUGUAAAGCUCUUUCGGCAGGGACGAUAAUGACGGUACCUGAAGAAGAAGCUGCGGCUAACUACGUGCCAGCAGCCGCGGUAAUACGUAGGCAGCGAGCGUUGUUCGGAGUUACUGGGCGUAAAGCGUGCGUAGGCGGUGUCUUAAGUUUGUUGUGAAAUCUCCCGGCUUAACCGGGAGGGUGCGGCGAAUACUGAGAUGCUGGAGUGCGGGAGAGGUAAGCGGAAUUCCUGGUGUAGCGGUGAAAUGCGUAGAUAUCAGGAGGAACACCUGCGGUGUAGACGGCUUACUGGACCGUAACUGACGCUGAGGCACGAAAGCGUGGGUAGCAAACAG